ACAAGUUAGCGUGUCUAGCCGCCG
rnacentral:siRNA from 1 species